GAUGAACGCUGGCGGCGUGCCUAAUACAUGCAAGUCGAGCGAACGGACGAGAAGCUUGCUUUUCUGAUGUUAGCGGCGGACGGGUGAGUAACACGUGGAUAACCUACCUAUAAGACUGGGAUAACUUCGGGAAACCGGAGCUAAUACCGGAUAAUAUUUUGAACCGCAUGGUUCAAAAGUGAAAGACGGUCCUGCUGUCACUUAUAGAUGGAUCCGCGCUGCAUUAGCUAGUUGGUAAGGUAACGGCUUACCAGGGCAACGAUGCAUAGCCGACCUGAGAGGGUGAUCGGCCACACUGGAACUGAGACACGGUCCAGACUCCUACGGGAGGCAGCAGUAGGGAAUCUUCCGCAAAGGGCGAAAGCCUGACGGAGCAACGCCGCGUGAGUGAUGAAGGUCUUCGGAUCGUAAAACUCUGUUAUUAGGGAAGAACAUAUGUGUAAGUAACUGUGCACAUCUUGACGGUACCUAAUCAGAAAGCCACGGCUAACUACGUG
rnacentral:rRNA from 1 species